CUUACAUCACAGCCUUUUGCCCUUUGUCAUGAAGUUGUACAUAUAAAUGGUUCAAAAUCAGAGAAGAAGAAUGGAGACAUUAAAAGGUCUCUAGAGAAGUUCAGACUCAGCUUCUGCCUUAUGCCAACAAAAUUUGAAAAACCUAUGGAAAGAGAGAAAACAACUGGCCCAAAAUCUAAGGAUAGAAAGUAUCUCCAGGGAGAAAGGAGAUUUGCACCCAUGAUCAUCUGAAGGUAGAUACAGGUCUGAGCAGACAGACAGAAGCCAGCACAACUGCAGGAGAAAUGAAAUGAGGUUCUAAGCCACCUUACAGCUUAUAUUGGCCCCACCAGUCUUUUUGUUCAUUGGUUACGUGAGUCAAAUUUAUAUCCCUAAAUCCGGAAUAUGCUGCCUCCAGAAUCCAAAGAAGCCUGAGAAGCAUGGUGAUUCCUUCUUAGUGGUGGAAAGAAUGAGUUAUACACAAGAUGAAUGGAUUAACCACUGGAAGACCUGCACUACUACAAAUGUUAAAGAAAGUCCUUCCAAGAAAGAAAAAAGGCAACUUAAUGGAAACUUGUGUCUACCAAAUGGAAAGAAGAGCAAUGGGAAUCCUAACUACGAGUGUGAGAAAAAAAGUUGAAUGUGGUGAUGGGGAAAACACUGAAGUUCAAAAGAAGCGAAGACAAGAAGCUACUCAUGGCAGCAGCUUUUCCCAUAAAUCAAGAAAUGCUACAGAUUAUAAAUGAGAUGAGACUAUCAAGAAGAGACCUAAUAGGAGUGUGAAGACCAAAAAUUUAAAAGACGUGGUUAUAUACUUUGAGUAAACUCUAUAUAUAGGACAAUGUUAUUGUUUGGUUCUGUGUUCCUCACUCAAAUCUCACCUCAAAUUAUAAUCCCCAUGUGUCAAGGGCAGGACCAGGUGGAAGUAACUGGAUCAUGGGGGAAGUUUUCCUCAUGCUUUUCUCAUAGUAAGUGAGUUCUCAUAAGAUCUGAUUUUUUUAUAAGCAUAUGGCAUUUCCCCUCCUAGCAUUUUGCCUCCUGCUGCCUUGCAAAGACGGCAGUUGCUUCCCCUUUGCCUUCCGCCAUGACUGUAAGUUCCCUGAGUCCUCUCCAGCCAUGUGGAACUGUGGGUUAAUUAAAUCUCUUUCCUUAUAAAUUACCCAGUCUUGGGCAGUUCUUUAUAGCAGUGUGAAACUGGACUAAAAUAGAAAAUUGGUACCAGGAGAGUGAGGCACUGCUGUAAAGACAUCACUAUAAAGGCACCUGAAAAUGGAAGCAACUUUGGAACUAGCUAAUGGGCAGAGGUUGGAACCAUUUGCAGGGUUCAGAAGAAGACAUGAAGAUGUGGGAAAGUUUGGAAAUUCCUGGAGACUUGUUGAAUGCUUUGACGAAAAUGCUGAUACUGAUAUGGACAAUAAAUUUCAGGCUGAGAUGCUCUCAGAUACAAAUAAAGAACUUGUUGGGAACUGGAAUAAAGGUGACUAUUUGCUAUAUAUGCUUUAGCAAAGAGACUGGUGGCAUUUUGCCUCUGUCCUAGAGAUCUGUGGAGCUUUGAACAUGAGAAAGAUGAUUUAGAAUAUCUGGUGGAAGAAAUUUAUAUGCAGCAAAGUGUUCAAGAAGUGACUCGGGUGCUCUUAAAACCAUUCAGUUGUAUGCAUUCACAAAGAUAUGGUUUGGAAUUGGAACUUAUGUUUAAAAGGGAAGCAGAGAAUAAGAGUUCAGAAAAUUUGCAGCCUGAUGAUGCAAUAGAAAAGAAAAAUCUCAUUUUCUGGGGAGAAAUUCAAGCCUGCUGCAGAAAUUUGCGUAAGUAACAAGGAGACAAAUGUUAGUCACCAAGACAAUGGAGAAUAUGGCCUCAGUCAAUGUCGGAUGUCUUCACUGCAAGCCCUCCAAUCACAGGCCUGAAGGAUUGGAGAGAAAAAAUAAUUUUGUGGGCAAGGCCCAGGGACUUGCUGCUUUGUGCAGUCUCUGAACUUGGUGCCCUGCAUCCCAGCUGUGUCUAAUAGUGGCCAACAUACAGCUCAGGCCAUUGCUUUAGAGGGUGAAAGCCCCAAGCCAUGGUGUCUUACAUGUGGUUUUGGGCCUGCAGAUGCACAGAUGUCAAGAAUUGAGGUUUGAGAACCUCCACCUAGAUUUCAGAGGAUGUAUGGAAACUCUUGGAUGUCCAGGCAGAAGAGUACUACAGGGGCAGAGCUCUCCAUGGAGAACAUCUGCUAGGGCAGUGCAGAGUCCCCACUGGGGCGCUGACUAGUGGAGCUGUGAGAAGAAGGCCACCAACCUCCAGACCCCAGAAUGGUAGAUCCACCAACAUCUUGCAUCGUACACCUAGAAAAGUCACAGACGCUCAACAACACCUCAUGAAAGUAGCCAGGAGAGGCGCUGUAUCCUGCAAAGCCACAGAGGCAGAGCUGCCCAAGGCUGUGGUAUCCCACCUCCUACAUCAGUGUGAUUGGAUGUGAGACAUGUAGUCAAAUGAGGUCAUUUUGGAACUUUUAAGACUUAAUGACUGCUUUAUUGUAUUUUGGACUUGCAUGAGGCUUGUAGCCCCUUUGUUUUAGCCAGUUUAUCUCAUUUGGAAUGGGACUAUUUAUCCAAAGCCUGUACCCCAUUGUAUCUAGGAAGUAACUGACUUGCUUUGGAUUUUACAAGCUCAUAGGCAGAAGGGACUUCCCUUGUCUCAGAUGAGACUUUGGACUGUGGCCUUUUGAGUUAAUGUUAAAAUGAGUUAAGACUUUGAGGAACUGUUGGGGAGGCAUGAUUAGUUUUGAAAUGUAAAAAGACAUGAGAUUUGGGAGGGGCCAAGGACAGAAUAAUACGGUUUGGCUCUGUGUCCCCUUCCAAAUUUCACCUUUAAUUGUAAUCGCCAUAACCCCCACAUGUCAAUGGUGGAAACAGGUAGAGGUAAUUGGAUCGUGGAGGCAGUUUCUUCUAUGCUGUUAUUCAUGAUAGCGAAUGAGUUUUCAUGAGAUCUGAUGGUUUUAUAAGCAUCUGGCAUUUCUUCUGCUUGCACUUCUCAUUCCUGCCACCUUGUGAAGAAGGUGCUUUUCUUCCCAUUUGCGUUCAACCAUUAUUAUAAGUUUCCAGAGGCAAACCCAGCCACACAGAAGUGUGAGUCAAUUAAACCUCUUUUUUAAUAAAUUACCACUCUCAAACAGUUCUUUAUGGCAGUAUGAAGACAGACUAACACAGAAAGAUAUAGCUGUUUUGGAAACAUCAGAAGUACAGUUGUAGCAAUAAAUAAAAUAUGAAUAGAUUAACUUUCGUACACCUAUUUGUGUUGAAAGCACCAGGAGUCAUAGCCAACAAUCACUUUAAUAUUUCUCCAGCUAAUUCUUCUGAUUUAUUUUUAUGUUUGGUUAGCCAGUGACUUCCCCACUAGCUAAAAAAUAUUUUUAAAAGUAUGUAUGUGUUAAUAUAUCUUGACUACUUUUUAAUUUUCCAAUUAAAAAAUAAAUCACACUUUAAUCUCUGUGUCUUGAUUUUUCUCAUUUAAGAAGAGCUCAUUGACUUAGGGGCUACAUACUAUAUGACAAGUUACAUAAAUCACAAUUUUCUUAAAUAUUUCCCUAUUGAUGGUUACUCAGUUUUAUUUUUUUUAUUUUUGCCAUUAGUAACAGUGAAGAAAUUAAUGAUCUUGCAUUUAAAUUUUAAGUACAGGUGAUUGGCUUCUUUUUACAACAUUAAAGAGUUGUAAUUGACAUACAAUAAACUGUAAUUAUAUAGUAGGCAGCUUGCUAAGUAUUGACAUAUGUAUUUACACAUCAAAACAUUACCACUAUUAAGAUAGUCAAACAUCCAUUAUCUCUAAAAGUUUUCACAUGUUACUCUGUAAUUAUUCCUGUCUGACCCUCCCACUGUCCAAAGGUAAUCAAUAACCUGCUUUCUGUCCCUAAAACUCAGUUUGCUAUUUCUAGAAUUUUCUAUAACCAGGAUAAAUUUUUUAAAGAUCUUAUUUUUUUCACUCAAUAGUUAUUUUGGGUGCAUACAUAUUUUUUAGGAUAUCAAUAGUUUGUUUUUAUUGCUAAGGUAUUAUUUUAUUUAUGAAUAUCCCACAAUUUAUUUAUUUAUCCAAAUGUUGAUGGACAUUUGGUUGUUUUGAGUUUGAAACUAUUAUAAAUAAAGCUGCUAUAAUCAUUGGUUUUCUAUUCUUUGUAUAACAUAUAUUGUUGUGGUUGAGGGGUGCAGAUAUCUAGAAAUGAAAUAGCUCGAUUGAUGGUAAGUAUAUAUUUAAUAUUUUAAGGUUCUGUUAAACUGUUUUCCAAAGUAUUUGCGUUAUUUUUCAUUCCCACUAACAGUGCCUGAGGAUUCCAGUUUUUCUACGUGCUUACAAACACUCGAUGUGGUCAGUGUUUUUAAGUUUAGCCUCUCUGAUAGGAGAGUGGCUUUAAUUUGCAUUUCACUCUUAACUAUUGAUGUCAAGCAGAUUUCUGUGUGCCGAUUUGCCAUCUGUAUGUCUUUGGAGAAGUGUCUGUUAACUAUUUUACCAUUUAAUAAAAACUAUGUUGCUUUCUUAUUAC
rnacentral:lncRNA from 1 species